UUCAAGUAUGCAGCAGCAGCAGCAGCAGAGAUGGAGCUCUAUUACAAGCUACAGCACCGAGUGCACAUUGACCGAUUCAUCGCAAAAUAAACAUGAAUGCAAGUGCAGAUUUAAAGAAGCUACGCAGAAUGUUCAGUGGGCCGAACUGAGUGGAGCAUCCUUUGCCAGGUUACCCCAUGCCCCCCUGUAACCAAGAAGAAAACCUUUCACCCACUCGAUCUCUGCCCGUUUCGUCUGACCACCAUUCGUCUUGAUGAGGAACCCUGUCAUCGGUGAUGUGAUGAACAAGUUUGAGGUGCUUGGGAUCGUGGGUGAAGGAGCGUACGGGGUCGUGCUCAAAUGCAGACACAAGGAGACUAAUGAAAUCGUGGCUAUUAAGAAGUUCAAGGACAGCGAAGAGAAUGAGGACGUGAAGGAAACGACAAUGCGAGAGCUGAAGAUGCUCCGUACGCUAAAGCAGGAAAAUAUCGUGGAGCUGAAGGAGGCGUUCAGACGCCGGGGGAAACUCUACCUGGUGUUUGAGUAUGUGGAGAAGAACAUGCUGGAGUUGCUGGAAGAGCUGCCUAAUGGCGUGCCUCCUGACAAAGUGAGGAUCUACAUCUACCAGCUAAUCAAAGCAAUCCACUGGUGCCAUAAGAACGACAUAGUGCACAGAGACAUAAAGCCCGAGAACCUUCUCAUUAGCUCUGAAGACGUUCUCAAGCUGUGUGAUUUUGGUUUUGCACGAGAUCUCUCAGAAGGAACAGAUGCUAAUUACAGCGAGUACGUGGCCACACGGUGGUACCGCUCACCUGAACUGCUACUGGGAGCUCCAUAUGGGAAGGCGGUGGAUAUGUGGUCGGUCGGGUGCAUCCUGGGCGAGCUGAGCGACGGGCAGCCGUUGUUUCCGGGAGAGAGUGAGAUCGAUCAGCUCUUUACCAUACAGAAGGUUCUGGGACCCCUGCCUCCUGAACAGAUGAAGCUUUUCUACAACAACCCCCGCUUCCACGGCCUACGGUUCCCUACAGUAAGCCAUCCACAGACUCUAGAAAGGCGAUACCUCGGCAUCAUCAACGGCCCCCUGUUGGACCUAAUGAAGAAUCUGCUGCUUUUGAACCCAAAUGAGCGAUUUCUGACAGAACAGAGUCUGAACCACCACGUAUUUCAGAGUCAGCGGCAAACAGAGCGGCCCGGCCCUCCGACCCCUACACCGGUCAGAUCGUCCAAAAGGAAACCCCACCAUGACAACAGCGCCCUCAACAGGAGUCACGGGAGUAAGACCUCAGGACACCAUCGUUCUAACAGCCGGGACUGUUCGAGCCUGCCACGUCACAGUCAGGCUGAGCUGCAUCCACCCAGUGCUGAGGCGUUUCUAAAUGGUGCCGUUCCAGCAUCAAGCAGCUUGAGCCCCACACUGCACCCCAAAACCUUUCAUUCUCCUCAACCCCUCAACCGCUCUGCAUCCUGCGGCAAAGACCUUGCCUCACUCAGCCCCAAGAAGUCCAGAGCCAAAGUAUCCGAUCUCGACUUUGACCUGGCCAAGCCAUCUGAUGGCCCCGGGGCCAAAUACCUCAAGUCCAACGCCUUGCGCUCUUACAAUCGCCACUCAUUUGUUGAGGGCAAGACCAGCACCCUUGGUGAGCGAGAGAAGCACGGUCGUCAUGGCGAACCAGUGCCAUUAAAUUCUGGUACCAAGGGCUCCUCGUCCUUCAUGAGCCUGUCCAAGAGCCAUGGUGCACUGACUGACGCCAAAUCCGUCAGCAACUUGACUGAUCCACGCCUCCUUCAGGACGAAACUCCUAUCUCCUCACGUUACUAUCCUACCAGUUGCCUGGACCUGAAUGCCAACCUGAACCUGCCGUCGCCAGGCAGCCCUGCCCUGCCUCGUCACAGCCCCUCGGCUGGAGGUCGCGCCAAGUCUGAGCGCCAAGGGACCAUGGUGGACUCGUCACUUCGGCAUUCGACACGCCGUCAGCAGCAGGACGAUGCCAAGACCAAUGAGAACCUGGAUCCAGGGGGAGGAAUAGGAGGAGCUCAUGACUUUCCCUAUGGGCUGGGCUACACCAGCCCCUUUUCCUCUCAACAGCGCCCCCACAGACACUCCAUGUAUGUGCGCCGGGAACGAAGCCGGCCUCAUGGAAUGGAUGCUGCAGGACUGGGGCAGGGUGCGCCCGCUCGUACCAGCAGCCUCCAGAUGCUCUCGCCACAACUUCAGCAUCGCACGCUACCCAGGCAUGUGGGUAGCACCUCCAAUCGGGAUGAUGCCACCGAUGACCUCAGGACGGCCAUGUAUCAUGAGCAACAUCCAGAGGACCUUGGAUCAUCUAAGGAGAACCGCAUGGUCUACACCGAGUCUGUGCCACGCAGAGUUGGCAGCUUUUACAGAGUACCAUCCCCUAGACCAGACAACAGCUUUCAUGAGGGCAGUGGUCAGAACAUGAGCUCAGCGGUGAACAUGGACAGCAGCAGCCACACCAAACGUCAGCCAUCUUAUGACCCCUGGACGGGGCCCGAUUCGCUGGAUAUGUGUGCACCAGAGCCAGCCAAAGAAAAGGAGAAGCAAGGCUUCUUCAGAGCAAUAAAGAAGAAAAAGAAGAAAUCACAAACGGUGGAAGCUGGAGAAUGCAGAGGUCCUGUGAUCAAGAAAUCUCUUUUCCCUCUGUUUAACUCAAAGAGUAGCUUUAAACAUAACUCCUCUGAGAGAGUACUUCCUCUAGUGACCUCAACCAUGAUCCUGAAUGACGAGACCGAUCAGGUGGUGGUUCCAAAAUCAUCACUGGGGUUUGGACAGCAGAGCAGCAGCAGACGUCGAACCCGCAGCAGAGACCGGGAGAGAAGCCGAGAUCGGGAUCAGGAGCGGGACAGAGACGAGUGGCCGCCCGAGAGGCUCGCCGAAACCCACUCCCAGAACCAGCCACUCAGGUCUCUUCGCAAGCUCCUUCAUCUCCCAGCCUCCUCCUCCAACAAACCCACUACACCAGACCUGCGAUUCCCCUCCUCAUCUAAAGGAGGAAGCUUCGUGGAAUCACGGGGUCACGUCGGAGGGGGCGGCGCUGGUCCAGCUCCACCAUUGUCCCGGCAGGCCCAGUACUCUCUAGCCGGUCAGCUGGAGUCCACAUGGCACUCGGCGGCUCUGGGCCGGUCUGAAGGAAACCCGUACCCGGAGCAGCUGGCAUCCAAAGCAGGCCAAAACGGGCACGGGUUUGUUCGUUCAUCGCGCUCACGCAUGCCAAACCUCAACGACCUGAAAGAGACUGCACUUUAAACUGAGCCACAGCUGCACCUGCAGGAGUGAGGGAUUAGAAAGGGCGCACACUGAGACACUGAAUAAUAAGGAAUUUGGUGGAUCACGUGUUCAGCCUGUACACCUGACCGGUGGAAUUACGCUUGAUUUGCAGCACCUGUGCAGAACCCCUGCAGAGCUUUAAAAGCCGAGCUGCUAUUUGAUGAUGAAGACUUCUGGUGUUGGAGCUGAGAGGAAGAUGAAGAGGACGUGCCGAAGAAACAGGAGACCUGUUAAAGCUUAUUCUAACUAUAUUUACAGGAUUAUGAAGGAGAGUCUGGCUAUAAAGGACAGUGUGGCAUUACCUGGACGUUUGUGGGCAGAACUGUCCUCCCAGGUUGGUGACGAAGCUGCACGCCUUGCUAAGCUGAAUCAGCGUGGCACCAUCACCCAGCGUGAGGUCUGUUCUGCUGUACGAGCUGUGAGAAAGAACAUGAAGAGAAACGAGGAACCUGGAGCAUGAAGGCUGGAUUUCAGAACUGUUUUUCUUUCUUUUGUAGAUAUUUAUGCUUUGAAUAAAGAUUUUUACAUUAA